AGAGUUUGAUCAUGGCUCAGAUUGAACGCUGGCGGCAUGCCUUACACAUGCAAGUCGAACGGCAGCGCGGGGCAACCUGGCGGCGAGUGGCGAACGGGUGAGUAAUAUAUCGGAACGUGCCCUGGAGUGGGGGAUAACGCAGCGAAAGUUGCGCUAAUACCGCAUACGAUCUAAGGAUGAAAGCAGGGGACCGCAAGGCCUUGUGCUCCUGGAGCGGCCGAUAUCUGAUUAGCUAGUUGGUGGGGUAAAGGCCUACCAAGGCAUCGAUCAGUAGCUGGUCUGAGAGGACGACCAGCCACACUGGAACUGAGACACGGUCCAGACUCCUACGGGAGGCAGCAGUGGGGAAUUUUGGACAAUGGGCGAAAGCCUGAUCCAGCAAUGCCGCGUGAGUGAAGAAGGCCUUCGGGUUGUAAAGCUCUUUUGUCAGGGAAGAAACGGUGCGGGCUAAUAUCCCGCACUAAUGACGGUACCUGAAGAAUAAGCACCGGCUAACUACGUGCCAGCAGCCGCGGUAAUACGUAGGGUGCAAGCGUUAAUCGGAAUUACUGGGCGUAAAGCGUGCGCAGGCGGUUUUGUAAGUUUGUCGUGAAAGCCCCGGGCUCAACCUGGGAAUUGCGAUGAAGACUGCAAGGCUUGAAUCUGGCAGAGGGGGGUAGAAUUCCACGUAGCAGUGAAAUGCGUAGAGAUGUGGAGGAACACCGAUGGCGAAGGCAGCCCCCUGGGUCAAGAUUGACGCUCAUGCACGAAAGCGUGGGGAGCAAACAGGAUUAGAUACCCUAGUAGUCC
rnacentral:rRNA from 1 species